UUUUUCCAGACCCACAAUACAGAGAAAUCUAGUCUCGGUGGGACAUGAGGGAGUGUAGCACGGCCAUUCGAAAAUACUAUCGAGUUUUUACUGAUACAAAGCUUAAUGCCAAUCGGUGAAGUAUCCCUUUAAGCUUGCAU